AAAACAGAAUACAAAACAGACCUUUUGCCUGUCUCUACACCCAGCGCCACCGCAAGCCACAGAAGCACUCGAACUCUGGGACAGACAGGGGCGCUGGUGAACCAGGACAGGGGCUGGCACAGUGUUGGGCACUCCAGUAGAUCCGGGACUUUGUGGCUUUUAUAAUGCAGUCACACGGAAGCCGAAGUAUACCUAGACACAAAGUUUCCCUCAAUGACUCUGACAGUCGAGAUACUUUUAUUUCCUAAGUUCCAGCCGGGUCUGGCACACAAGCCUGCUCUCCAGACCCACACUCUCUGCAGCGCGACUUCACGCACGCGCGCAGACUCCUCCCCCCCCCCCCCCCCCGCCAUCAGUUCUCCCAGGCUCCGCCCCUCAGGCGGAUAUUCUCCUACAACUUCUGAAAUCGCCCGGCCCCAUCCCUCCCUGCCUUCACCUCUAAUUGGACGCUGGCCUCUAUAGGCUCCGCCCCUCGGCGACGUGAGCCCGCUUCCCUCCGAGUCUAGGCGCCGAGGGGGCGGGGCGGGGCGGGGCGUCUGCGCCCUAUUGUCAUGGAGACGGGAAGCCGGCGGCGGCGGUGGCGGGCAUAGCCCAGCAGAGGUGGCAGCGAACCGGCCGCGACUGAGGCGAGGCCGAGCAGCCCCGAGCGCGCGGAGCCGACCGCUGGCGGCCUCUCAGGCAGCCAAGGGAGCAGUGUUCUCCGGGGCUCGGGCUGGGCCGGGGUGAUCGCGGGGAGUGCCCAGGAGCGUCCCCGCCCUGCUCGCGUCGCUCGCGCUCUUGCGGCCCUUCAGCUCCCCAGCGCCCGCCCCCGGCUCCGCCCGCCGCCGCCGCCGCCGCCGCCGCCGCAGCCCCUCGCGCUAACGGUCGGUAGCGGCCCGCGCGCGCCGCCAGCCGGGGGCUCGCGCCAGCCACGAGGGAGCGUCCGCGGCUCACGCUCCCGCGCUGCGGAGGAGAGGUUAUGAGUAUGAUGCUUCCAUAUACGUUUGGAUGUUUUCAGCUAAGUUCACUUCUGAACUGUGGGGCUCCUCCAAGUGUUGACUGAAAUCUGUCCUUGAGCAUCCCCACGCUCAUCUAAUCUACAGUCCAUAAUGGAGCCACUGUACUGGCUUUUGGAAGGAGGAGAUUCUGAAGAUAGGGAGGAAAUUUGUUGAGAGCUGGACUACAUCUCAAGAUCCCUCCAAGUCUAAAGAAGAUGCCACAAAUACCAUCAACUACAAAAUGAAAGGAAUAUGCGUCCAGUGGUGGAUUUUUGCAGACUUUAGCAGGCUCUACCCUUCCACCAUGCUUAUCCUUCAGGAAUGUGCUGGACAACUCUAUCAAUGUUUGGGGUAAAGGAACAUGAUUCAUGAAAAGGAUGAAUCUCCCUUAGAAGGCUUGGGGAUCUUCUCAACCCAGGAAUCAAACCGAGGUCUUCUGUGUUGCAGACAGAUUCUUUACCAACUGAGCUAUCAGGGAAGCUUAGGUAAAAAACUCAAUCAUCUAAAUUAGAGAGAUCCCCAAAACCUUAUGUGCAUAUGAAUCACUUGGGGAUCUUGUUUAAAUGCAAAUUAUGUGAUUCUGUGGGGGCAGGGGGACAGUGGUUUGGGCAGGACUGAGAUUCUGCAUUUUUAACAAGCUGCUUGUUCCCAGACCUCUCAGUAGCUGGGCUCUAAAAUAUAACUUUUGUGAACACAUUCCCCUUAUUCGCUGCAGUAGUCUAUGUACAUAAACACAUGCUUUAUAUAUAUCUUUAUAUUCCUGCUUUCUAAAACAUUAAUUGAGAAAUAGGCCAUUGUUACAGAAACCACAAUGCACUUCAUGAAAAAACAUUGGGCACAAAGGCAAAACAGUGACAAAUUGAUACUUUCUUGCUUGGUCACGCCUGAUUUAAGGAAACGAACCCCAAAUAGGCUAUGUGAAUUGGAAAUUGACUUCAACCACAUUUAAAUUGUUGUCUUUUAAAAUAUUAGCAGUUGAGUGUGUAAACCAAUAUUUAUUUUCUAAUCAAAGGUUUGUGGCAAAUGGUUUAUAAAUGAAAGAAAUGAGGGAAGAAUGCUUUGAAAUGUUUCUCAUAAUAGAAAUGGAAAUAGGAUAUUUUAUUUCUUUAAAUGGCAGGCACAGGCUUCAGCUAAAAUUCAUCCUGCUCUGGAAAGAGGAAAUUAUAUGAAAAACUGAUCAUAGUAUAAAAGCCCAGACCAGCACCUCUCUGCCAACGAUCAUAAUAAAUAUCUUUCAGCGGAAAAAAAGUUGAAGAUCCAGCUACAUUAAGGAAGAAUCUAUUAACAGAAUAAUUGUAUACUGAGGAUCCCUUUAAGAAACACUUCCAAAAUUCCAUUAUCUUAACUGUCACUCGCACUUUGAGUUGUCUCAACACUGUGUGUUUUCAUGAAUUACCAGAGCUGUUUGUUUUUUCCUUUAUCAGUCAUCACCCUGUCAGCCGGGCCAUUCAUAACGACUUUUGGCAGCUCAUCAGGAGAGUUCAGAGCUUGAAUAGGACCCUAUCAACUCUCACACCUCAUUGUGUGAAACUGUUUACCAGCAUUGCCUUUUUCUGUAAAUAUUACAAGCAGAGCCCUGAGAAGUGGAGAUGCGUGAAAACAAAAUGGACAAAUCUUGUAGCGGUUGGUGGAGAUGGCAGGUGGGGGUGGGGUGGGGGGAGUGACUGAGCAUUUACAAGUACUCAAGUUUCCUUUAUUGGGCUGAAUCCUACCUAGUCACUGGGCUUGAAUUCUUGUAUAUGCUGGUUAAUUAGACAAUAUUUAAUUUGACUUAACAUUGGUGUCAGUUUGGUGAAAGUGAGGCUCUGUAAUUAGGGAGUACAGACCGGGUUUCUGGCACAGUUCUGCUCACUUCCUCUAAUUUAAUGCCCCCCUUUCCAGUGUAUUAUCACCCUGGAUGUGUUGAGUUCCCUGCUGUCUUUUCUGCUUGACUGGUAACAAGGUGGCCCACAUGAACACCAACAGCAAAUGGACUGACUCAAGUCUCCUGGUCUUAACAGCCUGAAGUUCUGCCAGAUUCACCCAUCAGAAAUAAUUUCCUCUUGAAAACGAAUGUCAGUAAUUCUCUAUGGAAGCUAAUAUCACCAACUUGCAAAUGGCUGGUUGGGGUGCUCCGUAUUUGGGAUGAUAAACUGCUGUGUGUCAUCUGAAGAGGCUGGACUAUGGCCUUUCUUCACUGAUCACCAAGCCGGAAACCUCUGCUGGCUUUUCUUGCUGAUGAUUCCCUCUGCCUGGAAAGCCUUCUUCCCCAGAUGGUCCCAUAACUACUACCUUCUCUUCACUUGGGACUGAGAUCAAAUGACACUUUCUCCAAGAGGCCCUGCCUUGACCCCAGGUCCCAAAGAACCUCCCCCAUCAGUGUAUCCUGGCAUUCUCUUUUAUUUUCUCUUUAGCAUGUAAGAUUCUUUAGUAAGAACCCUAGAAUUGGACUUCCCUGGUGGUUCAAGAAUGGUUGAGAAUCUUGCUGCCCAUGCAGGGGAACAUGGGUUCAAUUCCUGGUCCAGGAAGAUGCCACAUGCCGCGGGGAAACGAAGCCCGUGCACCGCAACUACUGAACCAGUGCUCUAGAGCCUGGGAGCUGCAGCUACGGAAGCCCUCACGCCCCAGAGCCUAUGCUGCAACAAGAGAAGCCACUGCAAUGAGCAGCAGCAGCCCCCACUCACCACAACUGGAGAAAGCCCGUGAGCAGCGAGACCCAACACAGCUGAAAAUAAAUAUAUAAAUAAUUGUAAAACCCUAGAAUUCCACUAUUUGAUAAGAAUAAAUGUAUAUAAUAGUUAUUGAUAAGUUAGUAUUUUGUCAUUUUUAAGUUGCUAAGGAAUCUCUUUAAUAUGAAGUACUCUGAAGGCUUACAAUACAUUGCUUAUCUUUUUAGAGUCAGACCAUUACUUUGGAGGGCAUGCAAAUAUAUGGCUAGGGGAAAAUGUCUGUAUUUGGUUACCUUACAGGUUCUAAAGCUAAAUAACUUCUGUGCAUGAUCAGUAGAUUAAAAAUUUACUCUCAAAAAGUUUUUCUCAUCCUUG
ensembl:lncRNA